rnacentral:rRNA from 1 species
AACGAACGCUGGCGGCAUGCCUAACACAUGCAAGUCGAACGAGACCUUCGGGUCUAGUGGCGCACGGGUGCGUAACGCGUGGGAACCUGCCCUUAGGUUCGGAAUAACUCCCCGAAAGGGGUGCUAAUACCGGAUAAUGUCUUCGGACCAAAGAUUUAUCGCCUUUGGAUGGGCCCGCGUUGGAUUAGCUAGUUGGUAGGGUAAAAGCCUACCAAGGCGACGAUCCAUAACUGGUCUGAGAGGAUGAUCAGCCACACUGGGACUGAGACACGGCCCAGACUCCUACGGGAGGCAGCAGUGGGGAAUAUUGGACAAUGGGCGAAAGCCUGAUCCAGCAAUGCCGCGUGAGUGAUGAAGGCCUUAGGGUUGUAAAGCUCUUUUACCCGGGAUGAUAAUGACAGUACCGGGAGAAUAAGCGCCGGCUAACUCCGU